rnacentral:piRNA from 1 species
UAAUGUCAUUGCUAAUCGGUGCUUAGA